AUUGAACGCUAGCGGCAUGCCUUACACAUGCAAGUCGAACGAGCGGCGGACGGGUGAGUAAUAUAUCGGAACGUGCCCAAUAGCGGGGGAUAACUACUGGAAAGAGUGGCUAAUACCGCAUACUAUUGGAGCGGCCCAUAUCGGAUUAGCUAGUUGGUGGGGUAAAGGCUCACCAAGGCGACGAGCCGUCGCUGGUCUGAGAGGACGACCAGCCACACUGGGACUGAGACACGGCCCAGACUCCUACGGGAGGCAGCAGUGGGGAAUUUUGGACAAUGGGUGAAAGCCUGAUGCAGCCAUCCCGCGUGUAUGAGAAGGCCUUAGGGUUGUAAAGUACUUUUAGCAGAGAGGCGUUAUCUGCAGAAUAAGCACCGGCUAACUACGUGCCAGCAGCCGCGGUAAUAC
rnacentral:rRNA from 1 species